UGGGGAAUUUUGGACAAUGGGCGAAAGCCUGAUCCAGCAAUGCCGCGUGUGUGAAGAAGGCCUUCGGGUUGUAAAGCACUUUUGUCCGGAAAGAAAUCCUUGGCUCUAAUACAGUCGGGGGAUGACGGUACCGGAAGAAUAAGCACCGGCUAACUACGUGCCAGCAGCCGCGGUAAUACGUAGGGUGCAAGCGUUAAUCGGAAUUACUGGGCGUAAAGCGUGCGCAGGCGGUUUGCUAAGACCGAUGUGAAAUCCCCGGGCUCAACCUGGGAACUGCAUUGGUGACUGGCAGGCUAGAGUAUGGCAGAGGGGGGUAGAAUUCCACGUGUAGCAGUGAAAUGCGUAGAGAUGUGGAGAAUACCGAUGGCGAAGGCAGCCCCCUGGGCCAAUACUGACGCUCAUGCACGAAAGCGUGGGGAGCAAACAGGAUUAGAUACCCCUGGUAGUCCACGCCCUAAAACGAUGUCAACUAGUUGUUGGGGAUUCAUUUCCUUAGUAGCGUAGCUAACGCGUGAAGUUGACCGCCUGGGGAGUACGGUCGCAAGAUUAAAACUCAAAUGAAUUGACGGGGUCAUAGCUGUUUUCC
rnacentral:rRNA from 1 species